rnacentral:rRNA from 1 species
UACGUAGGUGGCAAGCGUUAUCCGGAUUUACUGGGUGUAAAGGGCGUGUAGGCGGGACUGCAAGUCAGAUGUGAAAACUAUGGGCUCAACCCAUAGCCUGCAUUUGAAACUGUAGUUCUUGAGUGUUGGAGAGGCAAGCGGAAUUCCGUGUGUAGCGGUGAAAUGCAUAGAUAUACGGAGGAACACCAGUGGCGAAGGCGGAUUGCUGGACAGCAACUGACGCUGAGGCGCGAAAGCAUGGGUAGCGAACAGG